rnacentral:rRNA from 1 species
GACGAACGCUGGCGGCGUGCUUAACACAUGCAAGUCGAACGGAAAGGCCCUGCUUUUGUGGGGUGCUCGAGUGGCGAACGGGUGAGUAACACGUGAGUAACCUGCCCUUGACUUUGGGAUAACUUCAGGAAACUGGGGCUAAUACCGGAUAGGAGCUCCUGCUGCAUGGUGGGGGUUGGAAAGUUUCGGCGGUUGGGGAUGGACUCGCGGCUUAUCAGCUUGUUGGUGGGGUAGUGGCUUACCAAGGCUUUGACGGGUAGCCGGCCUGAGAGGGUGACCGGCCACAUUGGGACGGAGAUACGGCCCAGACUCCUACGGGAGGCAGCAGUGGGGAAUAUUGCACAAUGGGCGGAAGACUGAUGCAGCAACGCCGCGUGCGGGAUGACGGCCUUCGGGUUGUAAACCGCUUUCGCCUGUGACGAAGCGUGAGUGACGGUAAGGGGUAAAGAAGCACCGGCUAACUACGUG